CUUCCAUUGUGUUGAGACACUGUCUGAGGUCUGUUAAUUUGGUGUCUGUCGCUUUAGUUCGUGCUGUUACUUCUUGCACUUUAGUAGAGAGCUUUGCCAGAUCAGCUUCCCACAUCUGCCUUAAGUUGUGUUGGAGGCCUGUCAGCAUUGCUUGGAUGUCGCUUUUGGAGGCAGGUGUGUUGGCCUGAGGGCCCUGACAAGGCUCCAGGGGUUGGGGGCUCUGUGGAGGGCUGUCAAGUGGGUCCGCAUCUUCUGGUGGUGAUGGUGGGAGUGAGGCCUCCCGGGGUGUCUGUGCCCUAGCUGCGUUUGGCAUUUGCAGUAGUUGGCCUAUGUCCCGCUGGGGUUUUGGGGUUGAUUGGGGUAUUUUUUGCACCUUGCGUCCCAUCUCACCUCUAGGUGGGGUGCCGAGGAUGUAUUCCUCCGGAUCUAGUGUGUGCCACUGCAGGAGCCCUCCUGCGAUGUCUCGCUGUUUCCCGCCCGCAAGGUAGGCCCUGGCGCCUCGGCGUCUAGUUUUGGAGCCUGGGGACAAAAAGAAUGGCAUCUGCGGAGUCAGCCGAGUGUGCCGCGGGUGAUGGCGUAUCUUGUUGCCAUCUAUGUGGUAGGAUGGCUGCGAUUUACCCCGGACUGGGUUACAAAAUCACUGAGCUCGGGGAAAUGGUGUCUGCUCCCGUGCGG